rnacentral:rRNA from 1 species
UACGGGGGGGGGCUAGCGUUGCUCGGAAUCACUGGGCGUAAAGGGCGCGUAGGCGGCCGGCCAAGUCGGGGGUGAAAGCCUGUGGCUCAACCACAGAAUGGCCCUCGAUACUGGCUGGCUCGAGACCGGAAGAGGUUGGUGGAAUUGCGAGUGUAGCGGUGAAAUGCGUGAGAUAUCGGGAGGAACACCUGAGGCGAAGGCGGGCUACUGGGCCGAUACUGACGCUGAUGCGCGAAAGCCAGGGGAGCAAACGGG